AUGGAAUUUAAAACAAUGUGUGGCAUGACAAACCCAAUCAGAUCUGUGCAGUAUAUUCAUGUUUAAUUUUUAUGAGAUUCUUAUGUGAUAGUGACAACUGCACCCUUGACCUUGCUGAAGGAGGGGAGGCAUGAAGCUAAUCAGAAAAUUUUCUCUAAUAAGCUUUCAUAGAAGAGUUUUCCAAAUAAAAUGAAGAGGGCUAUCAUGGCAUAUCAAGUUUCUCUAAUUUUCAGGAAACAAAGAUACUAAUUUGCUUUACUCUUAGGGAUUCUUAAAAGGCCUCUUUUCUAACUGCAUAUUUAGAAUAUAUAAUCAGAGGACCAACGUUCAAUAUCUUUUUUUGUGCCAUCACUUUAAAAAGUGCAGCCAUGCUCCCCACUUAACUAUCUGGAGUUGAGAAAUGAUCUGGGAGUUGGCCCAGAAAUAGUGUGAACAGCUAGAGCCAAUAUUGACAAAUCCUUAUUCUGCAACCCCACAAGUUUCUCUCCUAGGUAAGCUCAUGGGGCUCUCAAUCAUACCCUGUCAUUCUUACUUCAGACACUAGUCCCACUUCUUUGGUUAUCUGUAUUCUGAGUCCACAAAUCAGAGGCAUCCAGUUGAAAAAGCUGAAAGCUUCUAGAAUGGCACUAUCCAAUAUGGUAGCCAGUGGCCCCCUGUGGCUACUGUGCACUUAAAAUGUGGCCAGUCCUAACUGCAACGUGCUGAAAAGACAGAAGCUGAUUGAGGUCCCAGCUUGGUAACAGUUUGAAGAGUUGCAGGACUGGCUGGAUGAGUACUGGCUGCAGCAAAUCAGGCUGCCAGGAUUCUUUAUGGCUGUUUCUGCUUCCACUACAGCUGAGUCAGAAAGGUCGCUGCCCCGUGGUGGCACUAGACGCAGUGGACCUGGCAAGCAAAUGUUUCCGCUAUUAGCUCUCAGCAACAGAGACUCAUUUAUGGUCACCUUGGAAAUCUGGGCUUAUCGAUCUACAGCCCAAGUCUGCUGAGAAGCUGGAGCUUACUAAAGGGGAAACCUGAGAGCUGUUCAAGCCCCAAAUAUUUUCCACUUCUGCGUCACCUCUGCUGUCUGUUAGCAGAGUGGAGGAGAAAAUACACAGCACAAACAACGUGAAAAAAUAGUUACUCUAUUCAUUAAAAGCUGUAACUUCCAGAUUGGACUUGAGAAGCAAUUAAGCAACAGAGGAACCUCAUCUACUAUCUGUAUUCAGGCAUGCUCAUGAGAACACGCUGCUCCAGCUGGACUUAGAGGAACCCGGUGCAUCACAGGCAUUCCUGACAGAGUCUCGUGGUCCUGCUGGUCCACUCAGUGGUACUCAGUCCUCCUCAUUCUCGGGGAUAGGUUCCAAGACCCCCAGGGGAUGCCUGAAACUGCGGAUGGUGAAAUGCCAUCACAUCCUUCAUACUCAUAUUUUUAGGACCAUAGGAGACCCAAUAUAUCUGUCUGUAUUGCAAUAAAUUACAAGGCUUUGACCAAAGACCCAGUUCCUAACUGACUGCUCUUGAAGCCAGCUCCACUGCAGAAUUAAGGAACAGAGAUGAGACUUGUCUGACAUGGGGAACUGUCACAGGAUAAUACCUUUGAAAAGCCUGGUUUUAGAACUUGCCUCUCUCAAUUUGAGGCAGUGUAUGUUUUUAAGUUUCUAAAAAUAAGAUAUUAUAAGAUUUGUAACAUUACAAUGACUGCCAAUGCAAAGAACCUCUGGGACUCUAGUGCAUCAGUGGAAUAUCAGCACAUUGAUGGACAUGUGGACUAUUUGGAUUCAGAAGACCUGGUUUGAGCUCAUCUCUGCUGCCAACUGUCUGUGUGACCUUAAGUAAAAUUAUCUCCUCUCUC
rnacentral:lncRNA from 1 species